rnacentral:rRNA from 1 species
AGAGCGAACGCUGGCGGCGUGCUUAACACAUGCAAGUCGAGGGAGAACGGAAGGCUUCGGCCUUCUUAGUAAACCGGCGCACGGGUGAGUAACACGUAGGUAACCUACCUCCGAGAUCGGGAUAACCUGUCGAAAGAUAGGCUAAUACCGGAUAAGACCACGAUGGCUUCGGCCACUGCGGUCAAAGAUGGCCUCUAUUUAUAAGCUAUCACUUGGGGAUGGGCCUGCGCACCAUUAGCUAGUUGGUGAGGUAACGGCUCACCAAGGCUACGAUGGUUAGUUGGUCUGAGAGGAUGACCAGCCACACUGGGACUGAGACACGGCCCAGACUCCUACGGGAGGCAGCAGUGGGGAAUAUUGCGCAAUGGGGGAAACCCUGACGCAGCGACGCCGCGUGGGUGAGUGAAGGCCUUGGUCGUAAAGCCCUGUCGGAGGGAAGAAGGACUCUCGUGCAAAUGUUCGAGGUUUGACGGUACCCUUAGAGAAGCACCGGCUAACUCCGCGCCAG